CCGCCGGGUCCUAGGCGGAGCAGAGAGCAGGAGGACGCGGAGCCGGGCCGCUGGAAGCCGGGGAGCCUCGGCGUCGCCGCCGGCCUGUGCAAACAGACGGACGACAGUGACAGCGCGCAGCCGGCGGGGGAAGGGUGGGAGGGGCCCCCGGGUGCCGGGGGAAUCCCCACCCCACGGCUCCAUCUCCCCCCGGUGCAGCUCUGCUGCCCGCGGACCCUUGGACCCAGGAGGCGGCUGGGUGACCCUCUUUCAAAGGCAGGGCAGCCCAGAGGAUUCCUGCCGUCGCCCCUAGGCACCCUGCGACCGUGGGAUUCUUGGAGAGUGUCACCUCUGCUAGAUUUCACUGGGACUCGCCACUGUCUGAUGAGAACAUCUGCCCAGUAUUGUAGAGGUUAUAGAGAAUGGAAAUGUUUAUAGCCCGAAAGGAAGAAAUAAGAAACCGUGUGUCCUAUCAGAGAAUGAAGAUCCUGGGCUAAAAACAAAAGCCUGAAAACACUGACAGAUGAAGCCCAGAACAUUUGGCUGAUCGUUGUAUAUUUGAUGAAGAUUUUGUGUCCUUAGUCUGAAAGACAUUGUAAAAUAUUAUAGAUUUAGUUUCUGCCGAUUCAGUUUCUUCCAAGUGAUCCGCUUAAUUUCACAGGUGUGGAGGUGGUUAGAAGUCCUCAUACUGGGUGGUAAAUAAAAUGAUUUCUUCUGUUACAUUUACUGAGGAGACUUGAUGCCUUCUUCUGAAGAAAUAAAGGGCUCAUUCAAUUUUGAGAUAAACUUUUAUUGUUGGGAACUCAAAAAUUCCUUUCACAGGAAAAAUAACAAUGCUAUUUUCAAUUGGGGGGAAAAGGGUUUUAAAUUAAAUUCUAAAAUCCUAUUAUGUGCUUAUUACAUACUAAUGUGAGUUCAUCUUUUUGGUAAAAUGAACACCCAAGCAUGUUUGUAUGCAGUUUAUGCCCGUUCCAAGACUCUAAAAGGCUGGCACAGAUUCGGGCAAGAAAAAUGUGUCUAUUUCCUCUCAAUAUGUCUACUGUUUGAAUUAAAUAUACUGGAGACUGGUGUAA